GUUAAGCGACUAAGCGUACACGGUGGAUGCCCUGGCAGUCAGAGGCGAUGAAGGGCGUGCUAAUCUGCGAUAAGCGCCGGUAAGGUGAUAUGAACCGUUAUAACCGGCGAUACCCGAAUGGGGAAACCCAGUGUGACUCGUCACACUAUCAUUAACUGAAUCCAUAGGUUAAUGAGGCGAACCGGGGGAACUGAAACAUCUAAGUACCCCGAGGAAAAGAAAUCAACCGAGAUUCCCCCAGUAGCGGCGAGCGAACGGGGAGGAGCCCAGAGCCUGAAUCAGCAUGUGUGUUAGUGGAAGCGUCUGGAAAGGCGCGCGAUACAGGGUGACAGCCCCGUACACAAAAGCGCAUGUGUUGUGAGCUCGAUGAGUAGGGCGGGACACGUGGUAUCCUGUCUGAAUAUGGGGGGACCAUCCUCCAAGGCUAAAUACUCCUGACUGACCGAUAGUGAACCAGUACCGUGAGGGAAAGGCGAAAAGAACCCCGGCGAGGGGAGUGAAAAAGAACCUGAAACCGUGUACGUACAAGCAGUGGGAGCACCCUUUUGGGUGUGACUGCGUACCUUUUGUAUAAUGGGUCAGCGACUUAUAUUCUGUAGCAAGGUUAACCGAAUAGGGGAGCCGGAGGGAAACCGAGUCUUAAUUGGGCGUUAAGUUGCAGGGUAUAGACCCGAAACCCGGUGAUCUAGCCAUGGGCAGGUUGAAGGUUGGGUAACACUAACUGGAGGACCGAACCGACUAAUGUUGAAAAAUUAGCGGAUGACCUGUGGCUGGGGGUGAAAGGCCAAUCAAACCGGGAGAUAGCUGGUUCUCCCCGAAAGCUAUUUAGGUAGCGCCUCGUGAAUUCAUCUCCGGGGGUAGAGCACUGUUUCGGCUAGGGGGCCAUCCCGGCUUACCAACCCGAUGCAAACUGCGAAUACCGGAGAAUGUUAUCACGGGAGACACACGGCGGGUGCUAACGUCCGUCGUGAAGAGGGAAACAACCCAGACCGCCAGCUAAGGUCCCAAAGUCAUGGUUAAGUGGGAAACGAUGUGGGAAGGCCCAGACAGCCAGGAUGUUGGCUUAGAAGCAGCCAUCAUUUAAAGAAAGCGUAAUAGCUCACUGGUCGAGUCGGCCUGCGCGGAAGAUGUAACGGGGCUAAACCAUGCACCGAAGCUGCGGCAGCGACACUGUGUGUUGUUGGGUAGGGGAGCGUUCUGUAAGCCUGUGAAGGUGGCCUGUGAGGGUUGCUGGAGGUAUCAGAAGUGCGAAUGCUGACAUAAGUAACGAUAAAGCGGGUGAAAAGCCCGCUCGCCGGAAGACCAAGGGUUCCUGUCCAACGUUAAUCGGGGCAGGGUGAGUCGACCCCUAAGGCGAGGCCGAAAGGCGUAGUCGAUGGGAAACGGGUUAAUAUUCCCGUACUUGGUGUUACUGCGAAGGGGGGACGGAGAAGGCUAUGUUGGCCGGGCGACGGUUGUCCCGGUUUAAGCGUGUAGGUGUGUGUUCCAGGUAAAUCCGGUUCACUUUAACACUGAGGCGUGACGACGAGGCACUACGGUGCUGAAGCAACAAAUGCCCUGCUUCCAGGAAAAGCCUCUAAGCAUCAGGUAACAUCAAAUCGUACCCCAAACCGACACAGGUGGUCAGGUAGAGAAUACCAAGGCGCUUGAGAGAACUCGGGUGAAGGAACUAGGCAAAAUGGUGCCGUAACUUCGGGAGAAGGCACGCUGACACGUAGGUGAAGUGAUUUACUCAUGGAGCUGAAGUCAGUCGAAGAUACCAGCUGGCUGCAACUGUUUAUUAAAAACACAGCACUGUGCAAACACGAAAGUGGACGUAUACGGUGUGACGCCUGCCCGGUGCCGGAAGGUUAAUUGAUGGGGUCAGCGCAAGCGAAGCUCCUGAUCGAAGCCCCGGUAAACGGCGGCCGUAACUAUAACGGUCCUAAGGUAGCGAAAUUCCUUGUCGGGUAAGUUCCGACCUGCACGAAUGGCGUAAUGAUGGCCAGGCUGUCUCCACCCGAGACUCAGUGAAAUUGAACUCGCUGUGAAGAUGCAGUGUACCCGCGGCAAGACGGAAAGACCCCGUGAACCUUUACUAUAGCUUGACACUGAACAUUGAGCCUUGAUGUGUAGGAUAGGUGGGAGGCUUUGAAGUGUGGACGCCAGUCUGCAUGGAGCCGACCUUGAAAUACCACCCUUUAAUGUUUGAUGUUCUAACGUGGACCCGUAAUCCGGGUUGCGGACAGUGUCUGGUGGGUAGUUUGACUGGGGCGGUCUCCUCCUAAAGAGUAACGGAGGAGCACGAAGGUUGGCUAAUCCUGGUCGGACAUCAGGAGGUUAGUGCAAUGGCAUAAGCCAGCUUGACUGCGAGCGUGACGGCGCGAGCAGGUGCGAAAGCAGGUCAUAGUGAUCCGGUGGUUCUGAAUGGAAGGGCCAUCGCUCAACGGAUAAAAGGUACUCCGGGGAUAACAGGCUGAUACCGCCCAAGAGUUCAUAUCGACGGCGGUGUUUGGCACCUCGAUGUCGGCUCAUCACAUCCUGGGGCUGAAGUAGGUCCCAAGGGUAUGGCUGUUCGCCAUUUAAAGUGGUACGCGAGCUGGGUUUAGAACGUCGUGAGACAGUUCGGUCCCUAUCUGCCGUGGGCGCUGGAGAACUGAGGGGGGCUGCUCCUAGUACGAGAGGACCGGAGUGGACGCAUCACUGGUGUUCGGGUUGUCAUGCCAAUGGCACUGCCCGGUAGCUAAAUGCGGAAGAGAUAAGUGCUGAAAGCAUCUAAGCACGAAACUUGCCCCGAGAUGAGUUCUCCCUGAGACUUAGAGUCUCCUGAAGGA
rnacentral:rRNA from 1 species